CCUACGGGAGGCAGCAGUGAGGAAUAUUGGUCAAUGGACGAGAGUCUGAACCAGCCAAGUAGCGUGAAGGAUGACUGCCCUAUGGGUUGUAAACUUCUUUUAUAUGGGAAUAAAACGUUCCACGUGUGGGAUUUUGUAUGUACCAUAUGAAUAAGGAUCGGCUAACUCCGUGCCAGCAGCCGCGGUAAUACGGAGGAUCCGAGCGUUAUACGGAUUUAUUGGGUUUAAAGGGAGCGUAGGUGGAUUGUUAAGUCAGUUGUGAAAGUUUGCGGCUCAACCGUAAAAUUGCAGUUGAAACUGGCAGUCUUGAGUACAGUAGAGGUGUGCGGAAUUCGUGGUGUAGCGGUGAAAUGCUUAGAUAUCACGAAGAACUCCGAUUGCGAAGGCAGUUCACUGGACUGCAACUGACACUGAGGCUCGAAAGUGUGGGUAUCAAACAGGAUUAGAUACCCCAGUAGUC
rnacentral:rRNA from 1 species